UUCGGGUCAAUGGCAGCAACAGCUACUAUAUGUAUCCUCUGUUUGCUUGAUCUAUAAUUACAAUUUCAUUCUCAGCUUUUGGAAAGAAAACGGCAGUUUGAAAUUGCUCAUUUUAUUAAGAUUAAAAAGUGAUCUACAGUCCUUGAAUUAGGAUCAGUAUUUUUCACAUGCGUCAGUUUGUCGGAUGCGUGGAAAUAACUGUUAGUGUAUACAACAAACAUUCGUACUAGCAGAAACAUAUCUUUUACUAAAGGUCCC
rnacentral:lncRNA from 1 species